rnacentral:rRNA from 1 species
GAGAUGAGGCUGUGCUCGAAAGAGAACCUGCACACAGGUGCUGCAUGGCUGUCGUCAGCUCGUGUCGUGAGAUGUUGGGUUAAGUCCCGCAACGAGCGCAACCCUUGCCAUUAGUUGCUACGAAAGGGCACUCUAAUGGGACUGCCGGUGACAAACCGGAGGAAGGUGGGGAUGACGUCAAGUCCUCAUGGCCCUUAUAGGUGGGGCUACACACGUCAUACAAUGGCCGGUACAAAGGGCUGCAAACCCGCGAGGGGGAGCCAAUCCAUCAAAGCCGGUCGUAGUCCGGAUCGCAGUCUGCAACUCGACUGCGUGAAGUCGGAAUCGCUAGUAAUCGUGGAUCAGCAUGUCACGGUGAAUACGUUCCCGGGUCUU